CGUUCGCGUCCGUCGCGGUGAAUGUGGGAGGCGCUCCCCAUGCAACCCCCAAGAAAAAGACAUGAAUUAUCUGUUUUUCACCUCCCCGAAUCUGUUGACCAGAAUGUUUGGAUGAUGUCACAUUGAAUAGGAUGCUUAAACAGCACUAUUUGCAAUCGGUAAAACCUGGAAACAACCCAAAUGCCCGAAAACAGAUGACUGGAUCAAGAAGAUGUGGCACAUAUACACAAUGGAAUAUUAUUCAGCAAUCAAAAAAGAUAAACUCAUACCAUUCACAGCCACAUGGAUGGAGCUAGAAGGAAUUAUGCUCAGUGAAAUAAGCCAGAAGGAAAAAGAAAAAUAUCGGAUGGUUUCACUUAUAACAGGAAUAUAGGGAAACCCAAUAAGACAUCAGUGUAAAAAAAAUAACAGUACAAAACACAACAAAGCAAAAAUGGACAAUUAAAAACCAGAGACAUCCUGCAGGGGAGGAGGCGGGAGA